UGGGGAAUUUUGGACAAUGGGCGAAAGCCUGAUCCAGCAAUGCCGCGUGUGUGAAGAAGGCCUUCGGGUUGUAAAGCACUUUUGUCCGGAAAGAAAUCCUUGGCUCUAAUACAGUCGGGGGAUGACGGUACCGGAAGAAUAAGCACCGGCUAACUACGUGCCAGCAGCCGCGGUAAUACGUAGGGUGCAAGCGUUAAUCGGAAUUACUGGGCGUAAAGCGUGCGCAGGCGGUUUGCUAAGACCGAUGUGAAAUCCCCGGGCUCAACCUGGGAACUGCAUUGGUGACUGGCAGGCUAGAGUAUGGCAGAGGGGGGUAGAAUUCCACGUGUAGCAGUGAAAUGCGUAGAGAUGUGGAGGAAUACCGAUGGCGAAGGCAGCCCCCUGGGCCAAAUACUGACGCUCAUGCACGAAAAGCGUGGGGAGCAAAACAGGAUUAGAUACCCUGGUAGUCCACGCCCUAAACGAUGUCAACUAGUUGUUGGGGAUUCAUUUCCUUAGUAACGUAGCUAACGCGUGAAGUUGACCGCCUGGGGAGUACGGUCGCAAGAUUAAAACUCAAAGGAAUUGACGGGGUCAUAGCUGUUUCC
rnacentral:rRNA from 1 species